rnacentral:rRNA from 1 species
UACGUAGGGUGCAAGCGUUGUCCGGAAUCACUGGGCGUAAAGGGCGCGUAGGCGGCUCAGUAAGCGUGCGGUGAAAGCCCGGGGCUCAACCCCGGGUCGGCCGUGCGAACUGCAGAGCUGGAGCACUGUAGAGGCAGGUGGAAUUCCGGGUGUAGCGGUGGAAUGCGUAGAGAUCCGGAAGAACACCGGUGGCGAAGGCGGCCUGCUGGGCAGUGGCUGACGCUGAGGCGCGACAGCGUGGGGAGCAAACAGG